rnacentral:lncRNA from 1 species
GAUACUGUAUGCAGAUUUAAAUCAUUUUGAGCAAGUCGUAUUUUCUUGCCACCUUGGAAGAGUCAAUUAACAUUUAUUGCUGGCCACAUGGCAGACAAUAUGCUCAAUGCUUCAUGGGCAUUAUCUCAUUUCUGUUUUAAAUUACAAAAUGAAGUCUAUGGAUGUUGAAAAUUUUGAAAGAUAUAGAAAAACACAGGAUAAAAAUUGAGAGGCUCUCGUCUCUUCUGCCUUCCCUUACCUUCUCUCUCACUGCUCUCUUUCCCUACAGCUUACCCUAGUGGUACAUGUAUGGUUGUGUGCCGGAUAUGUAUGUGUGUGUUUGUGGGUAGCUGUGUGUACAUACACACAUAACCAUACAAACAAGACCAUAGCUAUUUAUUGUAUUAAGACUUUUCCCCCCUUUUUAAUAGUGUAAUUUGGAUAUUUUCCUGCCUUCUACCAAAUACAUAAAUAUCAUGUUUCUUAAUACUCUUAAUAGUCUAUUCCAUAGUUUAGACUGUAUUUAACAACUCCCUUAUCAUUAGAUAUUUAGGCUUGUCCAGCUUUUUGCUAUCACAAACAGGGAUCUUGGUGUAUAUGUGAAUGUUGGCAGCAGGUUAGCAGAGCACCAGAAGUGGGACUACUGGUCAAACCUUUGCACAAAAAUCAUACAGCCUCUAAUAGCAUUUCCCAGAGAAGAAAAGGGCCUUGUCUGGAACACAGAUCAAGAACUCUUAACUUUUUCUGAUCCAUGCUUUACAUUGCCACUUGAUAAAUACUACAUGUCAUCUCUAAGUACCACUAAAUCUCCCAUCUGGAGAGAUGGGACACUCUCCUUUAUACCUUUGAUGACUUUACUACCCAUGAUAAAAGCAGGAGAUCCCACCUUCCAGCUGCCCCUUCUUAAACAUCUAACUCUGUGCAAGUCCCAACCCUCAUUUAAUCACUUUGCUACUUCAUUGCAUUCAUCACACCAACUUGCAGUUAUUUGUACAGUUGUUCAUCUUCCAUUAGACUGAGCCCUCUGAGGGCAGGAAAUAUUUUUCAUUCUUCUUGGAACUUCCUUUUCCUAACAUAGUGUCUGAGAUGCUCAAUAAACUUUUUUUUGAGUGAAUAAAAAAUAAAUGAGGGAGUAGAAUACCUAGAUGAAUUCAGUUAUAAAAUGGCUCCAGGUACUGAAAUUGUCCAUUUUCAUUUUUAUGUUUUUGCAAUAAGAAAGAUGAACAUGCAUCUCCCCUAGUGCUACUUUUUUCAAAACUAAAUAUUCUAAUUCCAAGGCUUUAUUUCCGUCAAAUAACUACCACUUCCAAAUUCUUCUGUUAUUUUUAUUGUUCUCCAGGAUCUCUCCAUCUCAAUCAUGUCAUACAUUGGAAACAAUUCUCUGACACUUCAUCUAUAUACAAUCAACACUUUGUUAGGCUCUUGUAGCUGCCUCAUUUUUUGUAACACAAUAGAAUACUUGCCUUAAUAAUAAAUUAUAUUUGCCUUACAGUAUGGCUUAUUAGAUACCCAAAAUGUUUUCUGCCAUGCUUUCGAAAUGUUUUGACUGCAUGACAUUCUAUGGUGUUAAAAUUCCCCAAAAUGAAUGAUUUAUACUGCAUUUGCCUUAAUUGGAAUCUAUCCUGUUUUCAUCUUUCCUACUUUGACAGUCAUCUCAAUGUAAAUCCUGUGUCAGAGGUGCUUAUCUGUCUCUUUGCUACUUUUCUUUGAAAACUAAACAUAAACACAAGAAAUUUCACAUAGUAAAACUAGUAAGAUCUGGGUUUAUAAAUAUAAAUGGUGCAUCUGUGGCGGCAGAGCUCUGUCUCCAACUUCUUGGAGAUAAACAAGUUCAUAGUUAGAAAUGCUCUAGAAGUAAACAGGAAACCUGCUACACAAAUUGUGAAAUAUAAGUAUGUUUUAUAGAAGUCCUGAAAUUGUAUUUUUCAACAAGUUAAAACAGAAAAACCUAACACUACCAUAUCCAUUAAAUAUUAAUUCUCUCUUCCUCAAAUGUUUUACUCAUAUCUAUGCCUGUCCCUUUGGAACAUUUUUCAGUCAAAUUCAUAACACUGUCUUGAUUCCAAGCCUCAGGAGAACAUUUGAAUGAAAUUUUCAAAUGCUUCAAUUUUUAUAUCAUCCAAUGUGGAAUUCACAUUUACUGAGCACCUGCAAUGAGCUAGGAUCUGUACUACAUACUUUUAAAAAUACAUUAUUUUUCCUAAGAAAGUUCUGAGGUAGAUAUAUUAUUUUACAGAUGAGGAAACAGAGGUUCAGAGAGGUUAACUGACUUCACAAAAGUCAUAGAGCUACUAGGUAACAGAGCUCAUUGAACAUGGAGCUAGGAUUCAACCCUGGAUCGCCGUGAAGCCAUUUUGUUUCCAUGACAUCAUGACAUUGGUUAUAACACCACAAUUGUUUAGAAUAUAAGGCUUGUUUAGAAUGCAAGGCUUCCUCAAUUCUCCACCCUUCCCCUCUUGACAUCUUGCUCUUCUUCCCUUCAUCUAUUGUGUUAGUCAGGUGCAUGCUGGUCUUCCCUCUAUCAAACUGUAAGCUACUUGGAGACUUGGGAUGCCUCACUCAUCUCUAUUCCCAAACCUCAGGGUCUAUCAUUCUACCUUCUGUAUAGACAGGACUUUCAUAGUUUUGAACAAGUCAGAACCUGAAAGAAUUUGCUUCCAGAACAGGACAUUGACAGGAAAAUUAAGCAUGAUCAUGCCGAGUAAAAUAGGAAUAAGAAUUGGACCUACCUCAAGAUCUGUUGAGAAGAUUAUGAGAGAGCUGAUGGAUCUAAAAGAUUGGCGCUUGAUAGAAUUGGGAUCAUUUGUUUUGACUAGAACAAUCUCUUGCAGCUUGGAUGGAGAAACUUUACAGAGGUUUCAGCCAAACACUCAUGAAUUCUUUAAUGUGUGAAAUAAAGUAAGUUUUAUAGGCAAAUAACAAUCUGAAUCCCUAACUAGCUAUUUCAUAUAAUAUGCAUAUAACUCUGAAAAUUACAUACAUCAAAUUUCAAUUUGGCUUCAUGCAUGCUUUGUUUUAUAGAUUCAUAAAGGCAGAUUUUCUCUGAUUAUCAGACUUAUUGCAAAAUGGAGUCAACACAGAAACUUCCUGAAGUUGGCAAAGCUUGUUUUCUUUGGCUGACAGGAGUAACUGAUGUAUUAUUAUUUUUUAAGGCUCUGAGAUAAAUCUGAUUCAUGUUUGAAUCAUAAGUUUAUUAUUGAUUUUUAGUGUGGAUUUUGCAUAAGAUACUCAAUUUAGAGAAUACUCAGCUUUCUCAUAUGCAGAAUAGAAAAAAAGUAGUUACCUGAUCAGAUUUUUUGAAAGGUAAAUGCAACAGCAGUUGUAAAUGGCAUAGUCCAUUGUUAGGAAUAGACUAGGUGUUCAAUAAAUGAAUAAAAAAAAACCGUGAAGCUCUCCUGAAGCUUUAUAUUCCCUGUCUAUAAAAUGGAGACAUCACUGAUUUCCUGCUUACAUUACAAGACUGCUGUGAAGAUCAAAUGAAGAAACAGAUAAAAAUGUUUGGUAAACUGAAUUGUACAGUAUAAAUAGAAAGCGGUGACAAAAGUAAUUCAUACCAAUGCAGUUUUUUAAAAAUAUCCCAACCUGCCUACACAACUACUUCCUCUCUCUGAGAUUUAUCUCAAAAGUGGAAUUAGAUUCCUGUCUUAGCUGUAAAAAUAAAGCCACAAAGGGCAUCAUGCAUGAGAGAGUAAAUGUGAAACUCUGUGGGGGAAAAUGGAAACUUCAGAUAUUAUUAGGGCCUAGCUGCCAAUGGUGAUUCUCUCAAGAUUUUAUUGGCAGGUUGAGUGAAAGUGCCAGAGUGUGGAUGCACAAAUUGUAGUUUAAUUGGUGUGAUUUAUAGCUAAUGGUGCAUCAGAAGGAGGAACUAGGAACUGUGCCUUCUAAUUUAAGGCAUAGUACCUAAGACUGCAUCCACUAGGUAAGAAAACCUUCCUUGGCAAACUCAAAUAUUAAAUCUUCGCUGAAUUUGUCUUGUUCUUUUAUAUAAAAAUCAUGGAGCCAGGAGCUAAAAUAAUAUCUAAGUUUCCUCUUUGCCUGACGCCAUCCAUGCAAAAUGUGACUUGCUUCUUCAGCAGCAGCAUGAAAACAAACUAAUACACCACUAUUCCUAGGUAAGUAGAGCCACAAUGGGAAGACCACUAAGGGAAUAUGGAGGCUCACAGAGGCUAGUCAAUUUAUCCAAGGCCACGCAGCAAAGCUGGGACUCAAACUCAAAUCUUCUAGUCCUAGUUUCAUUCAGUUUUUUUUUUUUCCUACAUUGAUUCUAGACUUUGUUCUACAAGUGACUACUUUUCUGUUUUGUUCCUGACAUGAACAUGUCCAUGGCUGUCUCAGACUUGUUUGGUUACCCUAAGUAACCAUUUAGCAGCCAAUUUCUGAUAUGACUAUAGAUACAUCUCUAUAAGUGAAUUCUAUAGGUGAUUUGGCAUGAUCAAAAUGAAAAGGCUUUGUUUGAGUUCCCCAAUAUACUGCUCAAAUGAAAGCUUCUCAAAAUAUCAUUUUGAGAUACGACAGGUCUUUCCUUCAAAUACAACAGAUACUUUUCUUUUGCAGCACUCAGCAUACAUACAACUAUUUAUUUAUCUGUAAGUACUUGCUUAGUAUCUGUGAAGAACAUUGCAGGUACCUGACAUAUGUCUAACUGAUGGAGUGAGGCUGCUAAUGUGGCCAUCUCUCCCUCUUCCUGAUAAGAAAGUGAACCAGCCAUUUCAAAAUGUGGAGAAUUCGAUAAAUAUGUUCUACUCCUCUAUAGCCCUCCCACUAAAAUAAUUUUCAAUUUUCAAUUGAGGUGAAAGGAAGAAUCGGCAAAGAGACGGAUUGAGAGAAUUGUUUAUACUCAUAACUUCGUUCUCAACAUAAUUAUCUAUUUCUGAAUCCUAAAAAUCACCUAGCUAGAUUCUCCCUCAAUCUGAAGAUUACCUUUUACUCCUUGAGAUGCUAAAUGUGUUCCUAUUUAUCAUAUUAAUAUUGCGAGUAUUUUGUGUUAUGCAGCCAGAAAAAUCACAUAAUGGGAACUUACCCACAGCCCCCAAACUCAUAAACAGGAGCUGAAUAGAAAUUCCUCAGUGCAAUUUAUGGUAACAAUUUCAUGCUCAGUUUAGUUACUUCCAUGACUCAGAAAAGAAAUUUCUUUUGCUUAUUUCAGUAAUUUUUUUCUAAAAAAUUGUUCCCCUAAUUUUUGGCAAAGGAUCUAUGAGAAAGUGAAGAACUCCCUGGUUGUACAUGGAUUUGGAAUUGUCACUUAAGUGAGGCCAAAAUGUAACCCUAUGCCAUUCAUUGCAUAGUACCAUUUGUUAUAAAUUUGACCUCUAAAACAAAGAUAUUACAAAGCCAUUGAGUGUUUUUUUAAGGGAUAUAUUAUAUUUGUCACUUAGUCCCCAGUAUUAUGAUGGAAAACCUGGAUAGUGGAUAGAAAACCUGGAGGUCAUUUAGGCAUCUCUUUCACUGGUUGGGUGAGAAAUGGUGAAGAAGAUGGGAAUGGAGAAGGGACAUACAUUUGGUAAGUGUAAAUAAGAGUCUUUGCUGAUUAAUUCAGUGUGGCCCAUGAGAAAGAGUGGAAGUGUCCAAGGUUCCCUCAGGUUUACAGCUUGGGCAACUGACUGAGAACAGAAAGGAGCUGCCAUUGAGAGGAAGAAAAGAAAAUGACACUGAGUCCAUGUUGGGACACAUUGGGUUUAAAGGGAUAUCAUUAUGACCUAAGCUCUCUGAAUUCCAGUGACUGGGAAUAUGGGAAGAUACAUCUUUAACAGUUGAAGCAAUUUAUACACUUUAACAAUUGAAGCAAUUUAUACACCAGAGCCUAAGGAAUAUUUAUAGAUGAGGGCUGUGCUGCAAUGACAGAUAGGGUUGUAUGAAACAUACACUAAUCUGACCAUUCUAUCCUCCAGACUCAGGGAAGGAAAUAAUAAAAGUAAGUAACCAUAAAAAAUAGACUUUUAUGCAUAAAUAAAUAAAAAUCAGCUAGGAGACAGUUCAUCCCUGUAUAAGUAAAACAGGCAAAUUUAUCUUUCCUCUGAUUAAUAAUUUAAGAAAAAAUCCCAAGCAAGCUGCCUAUGGAGGUGUAGGAGUAGCUCCUAUAAUUAGACUCCAAUUUGAACCAUGAGGGUGAGGAUCAGAAAGCUGACUCAGAGCCUGGUGUCAAUUAUUUGCAGUUUGUACAACGAAAGGCUAAAAAUUUGGGAGAUGCAGGAUGACUGAAGCCCGAUUCUGGGGGUUGUUACAGCACAGUUACAGGGCCUUCCUCACACCCAUGUCUUCAGAUACCCAAGGCCUUUAAUACCCAAGUCCUUCCAGGAUUCUGCACAUCUCAUUAGCUUCAUAUUCCCAUUUGCUGUAUUAUCAGUGUCUGAUGAUGUUGACAAUGUUGAAGAAGAAGAAAGAAGAGGAGUUGGAGGAGGAGGAAGAAAACAUCCAGAGCAUUCAAUUUAUUCUAGUUAAAUUACUAACCAGAAAGAGAAUGCCCUCGGAAGUCUACUUUAUAAUGCUGUUUGGUUCUAAGUAAAGAGCAUCUAAUAGGGAGACAUGUAAAUCCUGUUUCCAAAACACACUUAGAGGAUUACAGCAUGUGAAAGAUUUGCUCCCUACCUGGCUCAGAGCUACGAAGGUCACAUUGGCUGUCAAAGGACAUGUCUUCUGGCUAGAAGAAGCCCUGGUGAAAUCUUAUGUGAUAUCGGCACCUUUGCAGAAAGUAAGAAACAAAUCACCUGAAAUCUACACACUUAAAUUCAGCCUGUGUUGGUCUAAUCAAAUUUGGCCC